AAGAAAACAGUUUUAGUCGUUAACUGCAGAGAAAAGUUCUUUUGUCCAUUAUGAAUUGGUGAUAUUUGUAUUCGGGGUGUUAUAUUGAUUGAGUUUAUAACUCAGUGAUGGAGUGGUUGAGGAAACUGGUGGCGUGGAUCAAAUACUGGUAUUUCCAGUGGGAGGUGGCCAGCAUGCUGGUUGUCAUGGAUCCCAUAGAGAGGUACUUCUUCCAUGCAUUUACACUGAUAUUACUAGCUGUAGUGAUAUAUUCUACGGUAACCUUAGUAACGGGACUCUUGGAAUUGUCCUCGGGAUCUCUAUCCUUUCAUAACCUUUUGACGGCGUGGGAAAGUGUCAAUGAUUGACAGCUGUUAUUCAAAAUAAAAGGAAGAUAUGAGUGACGUAAUACACCGGAUUGCAUUUUGAUUGUUGGACAUCCUUGUCUGUCUGUCUGUGAGCUGCUCAGAGGCAGGAGUUUGGAUUACAUGUACCUGAUGGCCGCCAAUGACAUCCGAACUAUACCAUAAUAAACGAUGAAAUGUUCGUUUUAUCAUCAUUUGUGAAAUACGUGUCAUUUAAGUGUCAGGUUAAUAAAUUAAUUUGCAAAGGAA